UACGAGGGGGGCAAGUGUUGUUCGGAAUUACUGGGCGUAAAGCGCGCGUAGGCGGCGAUACAAGUCAGAGGUGAAAUCCCGGGGCUCAACCCCGGAACUGCCUUUGAAACUGUAUUGCUAGAGUGUCGGAGGGGAUAGCGGAAUUGCUAAUGUAGAGGUGAAAUUCGUAGAUAUUAGCAGGAACACCGGUGGCGAAGGCGGCUACCUGGCCCAACAUUGACGCUGAGACCCGAAAGCAUGGGGAUCAAACAGG
rnacentral:rRNA from 1 species